CCCCCCCUGUGGUGUGGUCCAUGCGCCCCCCUUUUCAGCCCACUGCACCCCCACAUCUGGGCCAUGGCCCCCCCCUCCCACUCUCAGCCUGCUGUUCUCUCCCCGCAGGUGUGGCACCACUUCCAGGCCCAGCUGGCUUCUGCAUGUGCCACCCCAGGGCCCCCCCGGGCUCCUACGGCCCGGCCCUGACCCACCGCUGGAGGGAGAUGGGAGCCCCUGCUGCCCCCCCCCCAAUAAACGCUGCCUCGGGCCUUGCUCCGCAUCCUGUCUCGCUCCUUCUCGCUGCCCCCAGGCGCCACGCGGGGGCAAUAAUUGCUAACGGACAUUUCCAGCUAAGCAAAGGAAGGGGAAUCCUACCUGAGAGCACAGUGCAGUAAGACAGCCAGUGACUUGGGAAUUAGCCUCAUUACAAAUGCACUAGCCAACGCACACUAAACGCAGACUGGAUUUGUUGAUUUAAGGACGCUGACGUUGUGUAUUUCAACAGAGGGCCUUGACCAGUUGUUUCAACUGUUUAUAAAUCUUUAACUUUUUGACUCAA